ACAAUUAUAUGCGAAGCGGGGAUUGCUGGGGGUGUGCCUACUUCCUCUGCCCUGGGGGUAUUUUGUUUAAAAUUGACAAUAAAGAUGAUUAUGUAUAUCUGGUUCUUUGAUAGUCAAAUAAAAAGUCUCUUUAAAAGUAAUAGGGACAGAACGUCUUGCCCCCGCCCACAUUUCCGUGUGUUCCCGUUUGCAAAGACUGUAUGCGUCCUUUAUCAACAUGUUAUCAAUAUUAUCAGUGUCAAUCAAUUCAAUGGACAAUGCACACCCGGGUCUGUUGUCCACCUCUGGUGAGUGAAGUGGGGAUUUCUAGGUCUAGUAUGAGGCAGCUCUUAGAAUCCACAUGUCUUCAGAUCAAACAACGAUACCAUGACAGCUCAAAGAAGGACACUAAGUUCGAAAUUGUCUCAACUUCAAAUUUUGGAGGCUUCAACGGAACAGAAUCUACGGAGUACUUAGCAUCGGAUGUAAACUUCUUUCCACCGUCAUGGCAGAAACCAUUAUGACAGAAUUCGUUAUUGCUCUGACGGUUCUAUGCAGUGUGAUCACAGCAUUUGUUAUAAUCAUCGUCACAUUAUUGGUGUGUAUGAAGAUAAGACACUAUCGAUAUAUUGACGAAGACAAUGACGACGAGGACGAUAUCAUCGGGCAUGAGAAUUCAAAACAUCAAUCUACUAAUCAUAGGACAAGGCGAGAUGCAUGGGUGUCUCGAGAGCAGUUAACUCUGGCGCCUGAGAAAACUCUCAUUAAAAUUGUUCUUCAUCCUCAGAAAGAUUCUUAUUCUCAUCAGCCAUAUAUAGAUGACGGUUUACCAACGAUUGUGGCAUAAAUGUAGACAAUUUACUUACAGUCGCGUAACUGAUUAUGACGAAUUGGUUACGGUCGUGGAACGAAUCAUGACGGAUUACUCACGAUCGUGUCAUGAAUCUGCGAAGAAAACACUUUCAGGAGACCGAGCAUGGCAGUAACUGAUUUAUUUAAAAAAAACUUUCUCCAUGGAGAACGUGCCGAUUUACCUACGAUCGUGCACAGUUUAUCAAUGGUCGUCGGACGAACCAUGAUGGUUUAGAUAAGAUUUCUUUACAUGAAUCUGGGAAAAAAACAUUUACAGGAGAUUAGACCUUAGAUAUGUCAUGAUGAUCUAUAUAGUUUGAAAAUUAUCACAGUGUUAUGUAAUGAUAUCAUCCAUCUUGAUUAUGAAGUUGCAUUUCGAAAAUGUUACCCAUGUUACUUUGUCAUAUCAGGUACAAUUUAUCAAAAUUAGGCAUGGUUAUAGUUGGAAUACAAGCAAUUUAUUGUUGAGAAGAAAGAGACACAAUAUCAAAUUCAAAUGUUCCGUAAUUAUAUCACCACAUACCAUUACCUGUGUGUAUGCUAUAUUUGGAUAAUAUUAUUGUGCUUAAAAUUAUUAUUUUGAAUGUAAAUUUUGGCAGAAUAAUGUGCUCUGGGUAUAGUUGUAUGAAUACAUGUUUGAUAUCUUAUUUUUGAGCAACAGUGCACCUCUUAAUUCCCGCAGGCAUGUGUGCUGGUUGGAUAUAUCAUAUGUGACUAAAUUAUUCGGAAGUAGGUAUUUAUUCAGAAUAAUGCACCAAAGAAAUCCAUUUAUGAUAUAUUCAAGAUGUAUUUUAAAAAUGAGGAAGGGAAGAGUAAAUAUAGCAAAAGUCUUGGAAAAAAGAAACUAAUAAAUGACGUUAUUUUUACAAUGAGGGGGACUAGUUUAAGCACAUUCCGCAAGAAAGGACUUAGGGGUAAUUUUUACGACUAGUAUUCAUUUUUAUUUCAAAUAUUGAAGAAAAAACAUUGUAGGCUAUUCAAUGAUGCAAACAUUACUCUGAAAUCUCAAGUAAAACUAAAAAUAUCAGCAAAUUAAAAAGGGCAUACUAGAAAAUUAAUCACAAAAAUCACUAAAGCCCCUUUUUGUGGAAAUCCGACGGAUUAUCACUUAUAUAAAAAAAAUAUUAACAUUUUUACUCCCCGUCAUCAUUCAUUUAUCACUUCGUGUAGGCUCUGAUUUUUGUUUUAUUCUUUCAAAAAAUAUUUCAACUUCUCAAUAUUAUAUGCUAACGUCUUGCUUUCACCAUGUACACUUAAUGUGUAUUCGAAAUUGGGAUAUAGAUAUAUACAUGUAUAGCAUCGAUAUUGGAACUCUGUAAUCUGUAACUUCGUAUGGUAUUUUUUUUUACCUCUGUCAUGUGUCUAUGGUAAUGUUUGUUCCUUCCUGUGAAGUUGAAUAAAUGAAUAAACUCGAUACGAAUGUUAUGUUAACGUACGUACACCAAAAUGAACAAUUAACUUGAAAAUAAAUCAUAAUUAUAGACCCU